rnacentral:lncRNA from 1 species
CCAUCGCAUCCCCUGUGACUUGCACGUAUACAUCCAGAUGGCCUGAAGUAACUGAAGAUCCACAAAAGAAGUAAAAACAGCCUUAACUGAUGACAUUCCACCAUUGUGAUUUGUUCCUGCCCCACCCUAACUGAUCAAUGUACUUUGUAAUCUCCCCCACCCUUAAGAAGGUUCUUUGUAAUUCUCCCCACCCUUGAGAAUGUACUUUGUGAGAU